rnacentral:rRNA from 3 species
GCUCAACCUGGGAACUGCAUUCGAAACUGGCAGGCUUGAGUCUUGUAGAGGGGGGUAGAAUUCCAGGUGUAGCGGUGAAAUGCGUAGAGAUCUGGAGGAAUACCGGUGGCGAAGGCGGCCCCCUGGACAAAGACUGACGCUCAGGUGCGAAAGCGUGGGGAGCAAACAGGAUUAGAUACCCUGGUAGUCCACGCCGUAAACGAUGUCUACUUGGAGGUUGUGCCCUUGAGGCGUGGCUUCCGGAGCUAACGCGUUAAGUAGACCGCCUGGGGAGUACGGCCGCAAGGUUAAAACUCAAAUGAAUUGACGGGGGCCCGCACAAGCGGUGGAGCAUGUGGUUUAAUUCGAUGCAACGCGAAGAACC